GUGUGAAUUCCAAAUUGAAGAGAUUUAGAACCCUAAAUUCCUCAACUAGAAAAAGACAGUGUGAUUGAGCCCCACAAAAGUGCCAAAUUCAUACUUUGUUCACGAAGAACAUGACCCACAAAUGGCAACAGCAAAGAUCGAAGAACUUGAGUAAUAUCUCCCUCUCAUAUAUUUCCUCUGAUAGUCUAAAUGCAGAAAGCACAAAUGGAACAGAAUAUGGUCCAAAAUACAAACUAGAAAAAGAGGAAUAAAAAAGAAUGAAGAAAACAAAAGAAAUCAGCAAGCAUGGCACAUAGAACUUUCUACCCUCAUCAGUUGAAUCACAGCAAUCCAUUUCGGCAUAGUAGUAUUCAACAUUGGCAUCAAUAUGAUGUAUCCCUUCUCCAUCAGCUCUUCUUGGAUCUUCCGUCGCAAGAGCUUCGAUUCAACUCUUCUUUAAUGUGUAAAGUAUGAGGUCAAUCUUCGCAGCAGAAUUUACAUAUAUUCUGGAGAAGAAAUCGAUUUAGGGCUCAGAGUGAAGAAUUAGGGAAAUUGAAUUUCGAUAUGGGAUAGAGAAAAAAAUGUUUCUUGCAACCUUCGGAAAGGGCAACACUAUUCAAAUUAAUGAGGAAAUGGUGGAAAAU
rnacentral:lncRNA from 1 species